CAAUAUUCAAAAAUUUAUAGUGAAGACUGAUACAAUUUUAAUCUAGAGCUUAGAAUAGAUGUAUAUUGCGAAUUAAGUUCUUUUGAUACAAGAACCUCAUAGUAUGAAUGUCCUUGUCCCGAUUUCGAAGUUAUAACUCGUUUCAACCAACCAAAGGAUGGCAAGGCAAAUUGAAUUUUAAACUUAAUAAUGACAAAACAAUGCCAAAAAUCUCAGCAUCACGCAACUCAAACAAUCGCCGCUUCACUGAAUAGCAUAUCAUCUAAACAUAUCAACAUGCAAGCGAAUAAUUUUCUAGAUGCUAAAACGAACAAAAUACAAGGGGUUUGCUGUUGUACGGGGACCACACAGAGACAUCAACGAUAAACUAAAAUAUAAAAAAUAAACACAAGUAAUGCCAAAUGUAUGGAGUGAGACAAUGAAAACAGAAACCAGCACAAAAUAGGCAGCCAUUGGCAGUGGACGGGCUAGGGGAACCGAGGUGAUGAAGGUGGGAAGGGGCAGGGGGGUGGUGGCACUCCGAGUGGCAACCAAGUGCUACGCAUCACGAGCCGGUUGCUUCAUUUGAUUUAGCUAUAGCUACAGCUGGACGUCGGAGUCCAAAGAGUUGUCCAACGAGAUUUGCAUUUUGAUGGAUUGCAGGCGGGUAGCCGAAAGAUGUUUGCCUCGGACACGGAGCUACCUCUUGUCGGACAUGAUGUGACUAUGAGCUCGAAGCGAACAAAGCCAUGCCAUGCCAUGAAUCUCAUCGUGUCCAGCCACGGCGUGUGAUCGCGAUAAGAAUUAGCGCUCCAUACGCAGCGGCCGAGAUGAAAAGCUUUGCUUGUCUGCUCGUUGCCAACGAAAUAUUGGCUAAACGCUGUGGCUGAUACCGAGUCCGGUUGUAACUGUAAGUGAUUGCUUUACAUGGUCAACACUGUUUACAAUGGACAUUCACAAGCGCCGUGUGCCAGGGCCAGCCGUGUACUUGACACUUGCAAUGGACUCGGACCGAUCCGCUUCAAGCUAAGUUGAGGGGAUUAUCUUGCCGCUCAUCUAAUCUAAAUUCAUAAGUCGACGUACAAGACAAUGGCGGCAAUUCAGCGAAUGCCUGCGUGAGUGAUUGCCGUUAUGCGGCUGGCCCAGACCACAACGUGGACUGGCAACAGCUGACGGAUGAGCCAUCAAAGUGUGACCAUCUUGAUUUAUGCAUCAUUUUGUGUGACAGUAUGCCGAAGAUGUUCGGGGUCUUCAUUGACCUUAAGCUUACCCUUGAUUAUGUAGUGUUUGACAAUAAUGUAAAAAAUAGUUCUCACUAUUACACUACCAAAGUUAUGGACUCUUAGAUAUCACGCCAACAAAAUGGAAAAAUAUAUAUAUCAAAAUACAUUUGAAAGCUUUGA